rnacentral:rRNA from 1 species
UACGUAGGGUGCAAGCGUUUAAUCGGAAUUACUGGGCGUAAAGCGUGCGCAGGCGGUUUUGUAAGUUUGUCGUGAAAGCCCCGGGCUCAACCUGGGAAUUGCGAUGAAGACUGCAAGGCUUGAAUCUGGCAGAGGGGGGUAGAAUUCCACGUGUAGCAGUGAAAUGCGUAGAGAUGUGGAGGAACACCGAUGGCGAAGGCAAUCCCCUGGGCCUGUACUGACGCUCAUGCACGAAAGCGUGGGGAGCAAACAGG